rnacentral:rRNA from 1 species
GACGAACGCUGGCGGCGUGCUUAACACAUGCAAGUCGAACGAAGUGGCGAACGGGUGAGUAAAGCGUAAUCAACCUGCCCUUCAGAGGGGGACAACAGUUGGAAAAGAGUGCUAUUAACGCCUACUGCAGGAGGGGAUUGAGUCUGAUUAGCUAGUUGGAGGGGUAACGGCCCACCAAGGCGAUGAUCAGUAGCCGGUCUGAGAGGAUGAACGGCCACAGUGGGACUGAGACACGGCCCAGACUCCUACGGGAGGCAGCAGUGGGGAAUCUUCCGCAAUGGACGAAAGUCUGACGGAGCAACGCCGCGUGAGUGAUGACGGCCUUCGGGUUGUAAAGCUCUGUUAAUCGGGACGCGGUACCGGAAUAGAAAGCCACGGCUAACUACGUGCCAGCAGCCGCGGUAAUAC